rnacentral:lncRNA from 1 species
UUUCCUGCUGCCUUGUGAAGAAGGUGCUUGUUUCUUCUUUGCCUUCUGCCAUGAUUGCCAUGUGAAUCGCACCCCUGGAACUGUGCAGGGCCCACCUGUGUGGCCACACGCAGUGACCCUGAGCAAAGGAGUGACCACAGAAGUGCAUGGCAAAGCAGAAAGGUGUGACGUCUUGGAGGACGCGGGAGGAAAGCACGCCCAGCGGACAGGAGCCAUCACGCGGCUGCGGGCUGCUGCUGAGAACCUGGCGUGGGCCACCGUCGUCAGCAGCGUGGAGGUAACUGACGACCUUGGCCAAGAAGUUGGGUGGCAGCGUGGAGGUCAUGCUCAGAGAGCCUGCAGGACCACUGUGGGGCCACUGCCACCCUGUGGGGUGGUCCGGGGAGCCGAGGAGCAUGGACACCGUCUUCUCCUUCCAGCAGGCACAGUCAGAGUCCAUCUGGAUAAUCCUGGAUAAAUCUCAUCUGGAGAUCCUUCACCAGAUCACAUCGGCAAUGACCUGUUCCCCAAAUAAGGCCCUGUGCACAGGUUCUGGGGUGC